rnacentral:rRNA from 1 species
AGCGAACGCUGGCGGCAGGCCUAACACAUGCAAGUCGAACGAACCUUUCGGGGUUAGUGGCGGACGGGUGAGUAACACGUGGGAACGUGCCUUUAGGUUCGGAAUAACUCAGGGAAACUUGUGCUAAUACCGAAUGUGCCCUUCGGGGGAAAGAUCUAUCGCCUUUAGAGCGGCCCGCGUCUGAUUAGCUAGUUGGUUGAGGUAAUGGCUCACCAAGGCGACGAUCAGUAGCUGGUCUGAGAGGAUGAUCAGCCACAUUGGGACUGAGACACGGCCCAAACUCCUACGGGAGGCAGCAGUGGGGAAUCUUGCGCAAUGGGCGAAAGUCUGACGCAGCCAUGCCGCGUGAAUGAUGAAGGUCUUAGGAUUGUAAAAUUCUUUCACCGGGGACGAUAAUGACGGUACCCGGAGAAGAAGCCCCGGCUAACUUCGUG